UACAGAGGGUGCGAGCGUUGUCCGGAAUCACUGGGCGUAAAGCGUGCGUAGACGGUUAUUUAAGUCAGGUGUGAAAGCCCCGGGCUCAACCUGGGAAUUGCAUUUGAGACUGAAUAGCUAGGGUGCGGAAGAGGGAAGCGGAAUUUCCGGUGUAGCGGUGAAAUGCGUAGAUAUCGGAAGGAACACCAGUGGCGAAAGCGGCUUCCUGGUCCAGCACCGACGUUCAGGCACGAAAGCGUGGGGAGCAAACAGG
rnacentral:rRNA from 1 species